GUUUUCCGUUCGUAGACUCCUGUUCCCGUGCGCCGUCCACGCUCAUCUGGCCACUGUUCGCUACGUUUUAUCAGCC
rnacentral:sRNA from 1 species